UACGUACCGUACGAACGUUAUUCGGAAUUACUGGGCUUAAAGGGUUUGUAGGCGGCCUUGUAAGUCAGGUGUGAAAUCCCUCGGCUCAACCGAGGAAUAGCGCUUGAUACUGCAAGGCUUGAGGGAUACAGGGGUAAGCGGAACUGAUGGUGGAGCGGUGAAAUGCGUUGAUAUCAUCAGGAACACCGGUGGCGAAAGCGGCUUACUGGGUCUCUUCUGACGCUGAGGAACGAAAGCUAGGGUAGCGAACGGG
rnacentral:rRNA from 1 species